UCUCCCCCAAUUUCCCAAAAUGCACAACCUCUCUCUCUCCCCUCUCUCUUUCUUCGCCGAUCCACCGCCUUGCUAGCGGCGGCCGCUCCGGCGACGCUCCUCUCUUCCUCUCUCCCUUCUCUCCCUUUCUCCCUCUUCUCUCUUCUCUCAGCCUCGCCGUCGUCGUGCCGCCACCGCCUCUGCGGAUCUGCCGUCGCCGAGAUCCUCCCAUUCCCAGCCGCCGACGCCGAGAACCUUCCCUUCCCAGCCGCCGACGCCGAUUCCCGUCAGAUCUUUAAGGAAUGAAAGCAGUGGCUUUCGGAGCGUUGGUCGUCGAUUGUCGGCGACGGAGUGCGGAGCCGGCAGAUUCUUAAGUGUUUGUCAUUUAUUCUAGUUAUUGAGGCAAUAGGAUUCUACUUGGUUUAUAUCUACUGAUUUUGAUGAUCUAUGUGUAUGUAUUGCUAUGUGGAUGAUCAAAUAGGAAAAUACAGUACUUUUGUAAUUUGUUGGGGAUGGCAGAUUCUAAUUUCAACAUAUAUGCAUGCUUAUACAUGUAUGAAAGAAAGGAAAAGUUUGUUGUUUACCUUA